UGGUUGGUCCGAGAGUAGUGGUGUUUA
rnacentral:piRNA from 1 species